rnacentral:rRNA from 1 species
UACGGAGGGGGCUAGGGUUGUUCGGAAUUACUGGGCGUAAAGCGCACGUAGGCGGCUUUGCAAGUCCGAGGUGAAAGCCCGGGGCUCAACCCCGGAAUUGCCUUUGAGACUGCAUCGCUAGAAUUGUGGAGAGGUAAGUGGAAUUCCGAGUGUAGAGGUGAAAUUCGUAGAUAUUCGGAAGAACACCAGUGGCGAAGGCGACUUACUGGACACAUAUUGACGCUGAGGGGCGAAAGCGUGGUGAGCAAACAGG